rnacentral:rRNA from 1 species
UACGUAGGGGGCAAGCGUUGUCCGGAAUUAUUGGGCGUAAAGAGCGCGUAGGCGGUCCGAUAAGUCGGCUGUGAAAGUCAGGGGCUCAACCCUUGAAAGCCGGCCGAUACUGUCGGACUAGAGUCCGGAAGAGGCAAGUGGAAUUCCCGGUGUAGCGGUGAAAUGCGCAGAUAUCGGGAAGAACACCCGUGGCGAAGGCAGCUCGCUGGGACGGUACUGACGCUGAGACGCGAAAGCGUGGGGAGCAAACAGG